CGCGUGAGGGAACCUGCCUUCCAGAGGGGGACAACAGUUGGAAACGACUGCUAAUACCGCAUGAUGCGUUGGAGCCGCAUGACUCCGACGUCAAAGAUUUAUCGCUGGAAGAUGGCCUCGCGUCUGAUUAGCUAGUUGGUGAGGUAACGGCCCACCAAGGCGACGAUCAGUAGCCGGACUGAGAGGUUGGCCGGCCACAUUGGGACUGAGACACGGCCCAGACUCCUACGGGAGGCAGCAG
rnacentral:rRNA from 1 species